GCGGAUAUGGUAUAAAGGAAAUUACCUCAGCCUUCCAAGCUGAUGAUACGGGUUCGAUUCCCGUUAUCCGCUCCA
rnacentral:tRNA from 1 species